AAAUAUAUUAUUAUAUAAUAUUUUAUUUAUAAAUAUAUAAUAAUUAUUUUAUAAUAUUAAAUAUAUAUUAUUAUAUAUUAUAUUACAUAUUUAUUAUAUAAUAUAAUAUUUAUUAUAUAAUAUAUAAUAUAUAAAUUAUAAUAAUUAAAUAUAUUAUGAUAAUUGUUAUAUAUUAAUAAUAUAUAAUAUAUAUAAUUAGAGAAUAUAUAUAUAUAUAAUAAUUAUAAUAUACUAAUAAUAUAUAUAAUAAAAAAUAUAUUAAAUAGUUUUUCAUCUAUUUUUUUUUUCUUUCAACCAAACAGCUGUUAUGAAAAAAUACUUUUCUUUCCCUACAAACCAAACACAAACGACGUAAAACUUUUUUUCACUAAAAAUUUUUUUUUCCACCGAAAUUUUUUUUUUUCACAGUUUUACGUGGAACCAAAUACACCCCCAGGCAGA
rnacentral:lncRNA from 1 species